GGAACAAGCUCUUUCUAACUCGAGUUGUUGUUCUGGAGCUAGUGCAUGCCGUGAAAUUUCGUUCCUCUCUUCCUGAUUCAAAUCUUCAGUCUGUUUUGCAGUUUGUAGCUGUAGAUGCAGGCAGUCGCAUUAGUUUUGGAAGUGAAUCGGACAAUGCGGCUUACGAUCUGCCAUUUGGGUCACGCACUCGAGCCCUCGAUUGCAUUCGCCAGUAUAUCAUAGAAGCAGUAGAGUUUCUUAAAGACUGGAGGUUCACUGCCAAGUCUAACAAGGUAUACGAAUUGAAUCGAAAAGUCCUUCAGAAUAAUGCACCAUUCGUC